rnacentral:rRNA from 1 species
UGGAUUAAGAGCUUGCUCUUAUGAAGUUAGCGGCGGACGGGUGAGUAACACGUGGGUAACCUGCCCAUAAGACUGGGAUAACUCCGGGAAACCGGGGCUAAUACCGGAUAACAUUUUGAACCGCAUGGUUCGAAAUUGAAAGGCGGCUUCGGCUGUCACUUAUGGAUGGACCCGCGUCGCAUUAGCUAGUUGGUGAGGUAACGGCUCACCAAGGCAACGAUGCGUAGCCGACCUGAGAGGGUGAUCGGCCACACUGGGACUGAGACACGGCCCAGACUCCUACGGGAGGCAGCAGUAGGGAAUCUUCCGCAAUGGACGAAAGUCUGACGGAGCAACGCCGCGUGAGUGAUGAAGGCUUUCGGGUCGUAAAACUCUGUUGUUAGGGAAGAACAAGUGCUAGUUGAAUAAGCUGGCACCUUGACGGUACCUAACCAGAAAGCCACGGCUAACUACGUGCCAGCAGCCGCGGUAAUACGUAGGUGGCAAGCGUUAUCCGGAAUUAUUGGGCGUAAAGCGCGCGCA